AGUAACUGGAUAAAGUGCUCCCUCUACUGGACAUGUUGGUGAACUGUGUGUGGACCCUGGUGAGACUCAAAGGAAGUGUCUGUCUGUACCUGAGGGCAGGGACCUUCAGGACAGACAGACACAGCAGCAGCAGUCUGGACUUUAUUUAUCCAGCCCCCUCUGCUCAAACAUGACUGACACAGUGUGGGGUAACAGGUGCCACGGUGGCUUACUCCUCAGUCACAUGCUGCAUGCAGCACGAACUGAUUUAACCUUAAAGGCUCUGUGUAAAUGCAUUUAUUGUCUAAUUAUUUCCUAGGUGUUUGAAAAGCAUCACAGACACACACAGUGUUCGGGUUUUCUUGUUAAGUGUUCAAAUGCCUUGUGGAUUGGUCAUGAACUAGACUAGUAGCAGAUAAACGUUCCAGUUAACAUUAAGGUGCACUUUUUUAAAGUCUUUUAGGUGUUUGCCAUUGGCCAAUCUUAACUUGAAUGUUGUUGUAGUGUUUGCUGAAUGUUUUAUAGGAGAACUGUAAAAGAAGGGAGAAGUCGGCAGACGUCAUCUUAUUUUAGGUCAAAUAUCGUCAUUUAAAGGUAAUGCCAAUGGGGAAUGCAUAUACAGCUCAUUAAGUUAGUACGUUUGAUGUGCUGCUGUUGAAUUUCAGGGAGAUAAAAUGUUUUCUGACAGCUUACUGUUUUGCAAAACUUACGUCCUAUGAAAAAUAGGUGUAACAUCAUAAUUAUACUGUUAAUGCCUGACACUACUUAUUCUCUUAAUAGGCCAAGUGAUCCUUUGUAUGGAAGUGUACUGUUGCCAGGAUUAGAAUCAUAUUUAUAACAAGACGCUUUUGACAUAUUUUCACAGUCUGAUAAGAUAUUUUCAUGUUUUCAUGACAUACAUACAAUAUGAUCAUAUAAAAACACUAUUUAUCUUCAUCAAUACACUAUUUGCUUUAGUAUAAUGUAAAACAGACUGUGUGAAAGUCAUCUGCAAAUAUCUCAUUAUAACAUUAAAACUCCUUAUGCCAUCAUCUUGUUAUAACUACUUUUGGCAGUGAUAUGCUUCCAUACCUUCUGUACGAGACUGAAACUGAAUGCCUUACCUCUCAUCUCACUGCUGUGUAACCUCAUAUAUACGAUGAACCGUCCAUGUACUGUACCGCAUCGAUGAACUUGCAUUCCCAGCAUGAGCAGCAGUGGCUCUGGUGUGUCCUCUGCCCUAAAAAGUGCCUGUGGGUCUUGUCUUGAUCUCCUCAGGACCUCUUAACCUUAUCUGCUUUUUUUUUCUAUGCCUCCUAUGUGAUGUAACACGCUGUAAUAAAUAUUUAAGGCUAUGUUUAUGUUGACUCAGAUUUAACUACACAGAACUAUCAACUAUGAUGGAUAAAAUGUAAAAUAUUUUAUUUAAAGAAAUCGCCUUUAUUUAACAACUGGCUGACAGGAGUUGAUGCAUUCAUUCAGGUCAAAAAUGAUUGAUAGCCAAGUGAAUAUAGUCAAAAGUGAGCCAUUAAAUUCACUCAAACACUUUCUGUUGGGUAUGUCCUCAAGGGAACAACAAAAGUACAAAACCACUUGAGCUUACUAUCACGUCACAGAACAUUUAAGACACAGCAGUAACAAAAACAUGAGUUACAUCUUCAGAACAUACUGGCAGUCACACUGAUCCAGAAAUUUUUUAACAAUUCCUUUACUUAUCAGUUAAUAUCCAUGUUUAUUGUGUCUCUUGUGCUUUAAUGGAAGAUAGUUAAGUGCUGCUGUUAAAUAUUAAUAUUUUUAACUUCCUGUCUGAGCUGAAAUAAAGAGGCUCCAGGUGAGUUUUAGAGA